rnacentral:rRNA from 1 species
AAAUCCCGAGGCUCAACCUCGGGCCUGCAGUGGGUACGGGCAGACUAGAGUGCGGUAGGGGAGAUUGGAAUUCCUGGUGUAGCGGUGGAAUGCGCAGAUAUCAGGAGGAACACCGAUGGCGAAGGCAGAUCUCUGGGCCGUAACUGACGCUGAGGAGCGAAAGGGUGGGUAGCAAACAGGCUUAGAUACCCUGGUAGUCCACCCCGUAAACGUUGGGAACUAGUUGUGGGGACCAUUCCACGGUUUCCGUGACGCAGCUAACGCAUUAAGUUCCCCGCCUGGGGAGUACGGCCGCAAGGCUAAAACUCAAAGGAAUUGACGGGGACCCGCACAAGCGGCGGAGCAUGCGGAUUAAUUCGAUGCAACGCGAAGAACCUUACCAAGGCUUGACAUACACCAGAACACCGUAGAAAUACGGGACUCUUUGGACACUGGUGAACAGGUGGUGCAUGGUUGUCGUCAGCUCGUGUCGUGAGAUGUUGGGUUAAGUCCCGCAACGAGCGCAACCCCUGUGUUUAGUUGCUAACGAGUAAUGUCGAGCACUCUAGACAGACUGCCGGUGAUAAACCGGAGGAAGGUGGGGAUGACGUCAAAUCAUCAUGCCCCUUAUGUCUUGGGCUACACACGUGCUACAAUGGCCAGUACAGACGGACGCGAAGCCGCGAGGUGAAGCAAAUCCGAGAAAGCUGGUCUCAGUUCGGAUUGCAGGCUGCAACUCGCCUGCAUGAAGUCGGAAUCGCUAGUAAUCGCAGGUCAGCAUACUGCGGUGAAUACGUUCCCGGGCCUUGUACACACCGCCCGUCACACCACGAAAGUCUGAGAUCGGAAGAGCGUCGUGUAGGGAAAGAGUGUAGAUCUCGGUGGUCGC